ensembl:lncRNA
CUCACAGGCCUCAACUGCAGAACGGCAUCGCAGCUGCUUUCACGUGGGCUGUUAUCAGCGUUAUUCAAACAAGGUGCUCUUAUCUUCUCAAUCUCCAGGCCGGCGCGCUCCUAACGGGCUGUGAUGCACUAUGGGCUACUUUAAUGGUUAAUGAGUCGAGAUGAAGAAAAAUGUUAAUGUUGAGGGACAUUCAAUACCAUUUUCUUUUCUCUUUUUUUUUGAUGUGCCUUCCUGCUUUUCGUUAAGCGAACGAGGCUGCAGGGAGGCCCGGCCCCCCUCUCAUCUGCAGCCUGUUAUGGCGGAGCGGGAGGAUGACAUCAUAUUGGUCUCGGAGCGGCAGCUGGUAAUUGGUCCGCUCUGCUCCUCCUGCGGCACGGGCCAAACAGAACACACAAGUGGAGCCAGGCAAUGCAAGUCAGAUGCACCGGGUUUUUCCAAGAGCGGCUGGUGGGGCCCCAACGCAGACCGAGAGCCAAAGAGGCCUCCAAAAAGGGGCGCACCGAUCCAACUGUAAAUUGACUUCCCCUAUUCUGCAAGAAAUGAGCACCCGGAAAACCUGGAGUGGAGUCAGCAUUUUUGGCAAUCCCGCACCUCUUUUCGACUUUUUAAAAAAAUACCGUUUUGCUUCGAUGUCUGGAAUAAAAAUGUGUGGUGAACAG